rnacentral:tRNA from 1 species
AAGGAUGUAGCUCAGUGGUAGAGUGCUUAUCUAGCAAGCACAAGGCCCUGGGUUCUAUCCCCAAUAUCUUAC